CGGGAUGUAGCGCAGUCUGGUAGCGCGUCUGUUUUGGGUACAGAAGGUCGUGUGUUCGAAUCGCAUCAUCCCGA
rnacentral:tRNA from 1 species